rnacentral:rRNA from 1 species
UACGUAGGUGGCAAGCGUUGUCCGGAAUUAUUGGGCGUAAAGCGCGCGCAGGCGGUUCCUUAAGUCUGAUGUGAAAGCCCACGGCUCAACCGUGGAGGGUCAUUGGAUACUGGGGAACUUGAGUGCAGAAGAGGAAAGUGGAAUUCCGAGUGCAGCGGUGAAAUGCGUAGAGAUUUGGAGGAACACCAGUGGCGAAGGCGACUUUCUGGUCUGUAACUGACACUGAGGCGCGAAAGCGUGGGGAGCAAACAGG